UAGCUUUAGCGAUGGAUCGGUUGAUUCGCGUAUCGAUGAAAAACGCAGCAAGCUGCGUUAUUUACCACGAAUUGCAGACGCUUAGAGUGGUGAAGUUUUGAACGC
rfam:Heterorhabditis bacteriophora unplaced genomic scaffold Scaffold329, whole genome shotgun sequence.